GCCUUCGUGGUAUAGUGAUCAGCACGCUCGACGUGUAUUCGAGAGGUCCGUGGUUCGAAUCCCGGCGAGGACA
rnacentral:tRNA from 1 species